rnacentral:rRNA from 1 species
GAUGAACGCUGGCGGCGUGCCUAAUACAUGCAAGUCGAGCGAAUGGAUUAAGAGCUUGCUCUUAUGAAGUUAGCGGCGGACGGGUGAGUGACACGUGGGUAACCUGCCCAUAAGACUGGGAUAACUCCGGGAAACCGGGGCUAAUACCGGAUAACAUUUUGAACCGCAUGGUUCGAAAUUGAAAGGCGGCUUCGGCUGUCACUUAUGGAUGGACCCGCGUCGCAUUAGCGAGUUGGUGAGGUAACGGCUCACCAAGGCAACGAUGCGUAGCCGACCUGGGAGGGUGAUCGGCCACACUGGGACUGAGACACGGCACAGACUCCUACGGGAGGCAGCAGUAGGGAAUCUUCCGCAAUGGACGAAAGUCUGACGGAGCAACGCCGCGUGAGUGAUGAAGGCUUUCGGGUCGUAAAACUCUGUUGUUAGGGAAGAACAAGUGCUAGUUGAAUAAGCUGGCACCUUGACGGUACCUAACCAGAAAGCCACGGCUAACUACGUGCCAGCAGCCGCGGUAA